UACGUAGGUGGCAAGCGUUGUCCGGAUUUACUGGGCGUAAAGCGCGCGCAGGCGGACUGAUCAGUCUGGGGUGAAAUCUCCCGGCUCAACUGGGAGCGGUCCCUGGAUACUGUCAGUCUUGAGAGACCUAGAGGAGAGCGGAAUUCCCGGUGUAGUGGUGGAAUGCGUAGAUAUCGGGAAGAACACCAGUGGCGACAGCGGCUCUCUGGGGGUUUUCUGACGCUGAGGCGCGAAAGCGUGGGGAGCGAACCGG
rnacentral:rRNA from 1 species